AAAAAAAAAAAGAGCUAAGGGCUUAAAACACUAGAACCGUACAGUACUCUUACUCCCUCGGUGAGAAAUGCUACAAGAAGAUUCAGGAUCGACACCGGCCUCGUGUGCUGGGAGAUCGCUGUGUGUGAUUCAUCACCUGGUGGAAACCGGCUCCCUCCACCUAGCGAAGUCCAGCGAGAGUUCCUUUCCUCUGCCCUCCUCGGGCCUCAUAGGUGCUUUAUUGUUGAGGUCUAAAAGCCUGCCAGCAAGUUCUGUGCCUCCCCACCCAGGGUCCAUGCACAGAAAGUGGCUUGUGCAGCUGCUCUGGAUUUGAGUCCUUGAAUGUGUAUUUAGAGAGGCGGGGCUCUCCUGGGAGGAGGCCAGUGCCUGGGAGGGGCUCUGCCCAGGAAAUUCUGCUCCCCCGGGCCGCGCUGCUCUGCCCGGACUCCCAGCAGCUUUGCUUGAUUUCUUUGUUCAUUUAAUGGCUGAAUUUCAGGGCCAUUCCGGAUCCACCAGGUUCCUGCAACCCUUGCAUUCAUGACCUUACACAGCACAGUUAAUUCCAAAUUAUACAAGCAAAUUUAUUUGACCUAAUAAUUUGGUCAUACAUCUGCCUAUUGUAAACGAGGUUAGGAAAAUUGUACUAAUUUUUCUGUUUUUCCUGCCUGUUCUGAAGGAAGCCAGAGGUAAACUUUUUUUUUUUAAGUGUUUUAGAUAUCCCCCAAAAGAUUAGCAUCUUGUAAAAGAGACCCUUCAAUGACUUGUAGUUGAUGCUUUAGUUCUUUUAUUUUGUUAACAAAAAUGACAAUAACAUCUAAUGUGUAGAGCAUGUACUGUGGAUCAGGCAAUGUAUCUAGUGCUUUCUGUAUAUCACUUUAUAUAAAUCUCACAUCAACCCUUCAAGUAGAUAUAAUCCUUAUUUUAUACAUAAGAAAACUGAUACUUAGACUAAAAUAGCCAACUCAAGGUCACACUGAACUUGAGUUAAGGGUUGGAGUUAGGAAGUAGACUUGAGACUGCUGGACUUCCAAAUCCAAAAUCUUAUCCAUUGCCAUUUGUGUGCCACAUGCCACCAUUAAUAAGAUUAACUAUUCCAACACAAAUGAUCUGACACAUGGAGAAAGUUUUGUACAAUGUUUAGGAACUAAGGGAAUUAGGAUGUUUGCAGUUCAGCUGCUAGUCUGGAUUUAUCUUAUACCGAGGUGAAAACAGUUUGCAGAAUUCAGAGUGCAUUUUGAAUUGCAUUGUAUUCCAAAAGCCACUUCUGCAUUCUGCGAAUAAUGUUCAGAAGUCAGAGAGCAAGGGAAAUAAAGGAAGAGUUCUGGCCCCAACUUUAAAAUGAGUGGCCAUUGGGGUCAUAAAGGUUCUUGGGCCCUUUGCUUUCAAAAGCAUGAAAAAAAACAAAACAAAACUACUUCAUCUGUAGGAAUUAUUAAAUCUGAGUUCUUGAAGUGGUUGAAAGAAAUGAGCUCUUAUAGGAAGCACUGCUCCCACAAGGAAAAGCUUGAGAACAUUAAAGUGCUGACCAAGGAGCUUCCACCUGCUUCACCUGAGCUGGCGGGCAGAUGUUGCAGGGUAUCAAAUGUGGAGAAAGCUGACAUCAAUCCAAGGGUUCCCGUCUUUCACCAAGUCACAUCACUGAAGUCUCGCCAUCAACAGGAAAGAGCUCACCUGCUCUUUGCCAUCUGCCCUUCCCCCAACUCAUUCACAGCUGUGCAGAUACUUGUACUCAAAGAGAAAUGAUCUCUUUAACAAUGGUUGGCACAUCCAUGAACUGUGAAUUUGAACCUUGAAAUGGUUCCCAUAGACAGUCCCCUUGCUGAUGAAGAGCAGAUACUAGAUGAAGGUCCUUGGAGCUCUUACACUGGCUCAGGCAGUUAUUGGUCUGGGAUGCUGGGAUGUAAUGUUAUUCCGGGCAUCGAUAACAAUACAGUUCCCUUUCAGCUCUGGCAACUGGUGCCGCACAAUCUCUAAUUGAAUUCCCCUCUAGUUGAGCUUAUGGGAAGAAUUCCAAGAUUUCUUGAUGCUCACUUGUACAUUGAACCCACAUUAGUAUUGCAGGGCAUGUAUUAUCAGACGGGAACCCUGGAGAUGGAACAGGCCUGUUCUAGUAAGUGGUUUAGAGGGGGCGAUGCUCCUCUGGUGAGUAAACAUGGAGGUCUGUUAGAGCUCUAUCGUGGGACCUCCUCUUCAGGCAAACUUGGAAGUAUUUCCCAGUGGGGUCCCAGUAUCUCCAAGGUAGCCCCCGAUGACACAAGAUGACAUCAGCCUGGGGAAUACUGGCCUGAGUCUCAGAAAAAGAAGCUGCGACCAACAGGCAAACCAAUUUGUUAGCAGGGAAGAGAAAGAGGGCAAAUAUCCAAAGUCUUCCUUCUCCUAAAAACCUGAAAACAGCACUUGGUCUCUCUGAACUUCUCUGCUUCUGACAUUAGCAGUGUUUCUUCUUUACACCCCAUCUAAACCAACUCAUAUGGCUUUAAUCCCACACCAGGCCAGGCCAGGAAGUUCAGCCCUUUCCUUCCUGAACCCUGAGGGGCCCCUUCCCUUUCUCUGGCGAUGGUCCACCCUCCUUUAUCAUUUAUUACUUCCCUCCUGACUCUGUCUGGCCCACAUGAGCGGCUGUGCCUGUUUCUGCUGGCCCUGCCCACUCUCUGUGAGCCCUGUGGCCAGAGAUGGAAAUGAGGUUUUCCUGCACUUGGAAGAAACAGCACACAUGAGAAGCAGUUGAGGUUCCAGUGGGGGUCAAAUUGGGUAGAGAGAAUUACACCAGGAAAAGAGCUGCUAAUUUAGCAUAGGACAGUACAGUUUUAUGCUUAGUUCUUUUAAAUUUUUAUUAUGAAAAUAUUCAAUAGAUAACACUUGCAGGGAAAAGUAUAAUGAAGCCUUCUAUCCUCCACACCCAGGUAAACUUAGUUGAAAACGUGCUAAGAUUGAAUCCGAAUGGUCUACGUUUCAACUACUGUUCUUUUGGAUAUGUGGUGGGGAGAGGUGCUGGGAACACAAGAUUCCGGAGUGCCUCUGAUAAUGCCUUUUAAUUCCACUUCCAGAAAUAUGAGAUUAAACCCACAUGGCUAGAAAGCAACCACAAGUGAAAAAGUGAAACCUGGCCUAGACAUCACGAGGGCUAGGUCCCAUCAUUGAUUCACAUUGAUCACCUAUAGACCAAUGUUUUUCAGGUGAUACUUAACUGAGUGUGUUUUCAGCAAAAUAAUGGCCCCAAAGAUGUUGGCCCCUAGUCCUCCAAACUUAUGAAUAUAUUACCUUACAUGUUAUAUUACCUUUGCAGACAUAGUUAAGGUUAUGCACCGCAUCAUGAGGUGAGUAUCUUGGAUUAUCUGGAUGGGCCCAAUAUUAUCACAUCAUUAACAGUAGGAUAAGAAAGAAAGAGGAUAAGAGAGAUGACAGCAUAAGAAGGAUCCAACACCCUGUGGCUUGUUCUGAGAUGUGGGGAGCUAUUGCAGUGACCAGAGAGAAGCCUCUCCAAGUUAAGGGUAGCCCCAGCAGGCAGCCAGCAAAGAAACUGGAACCUCUGUCCUAUAACCACAGGAACUGGAUUCUGCCAACAACCUGAAUGAGCAAGAAGACAGCUUCUCCCCUGGAGCCUUCAACAAGGAACACAGUCCCACCAACAAUGUGUUUUUAUCUGGACUUUUCUGAGGGGCCAUGGGCAGGCUGAACUGUCAAAGAAAUGUGCUAAAAGUACCUGAUUUGAGGACCGGCAUUCAGCCAAAUUGUCAAGCAAGAUGUUUGCCUUAAGUGCCUUCACGUCCUGUCUUGGAACAUCUUGAACUCUUCCCUCCUAAUCCUUUCAAGUUUUCUCCUGGAUCUUGCUGUCUAAUCUUCCACCCAUGACUGCUGGGACUUCUGUUUCUGUUAGAGAAAAAAAACCCAGGUGCUCACCCUCCAGAUAUCCCUCCAUUUCUCCCAGUCUACCUUCCCACAUUCCUCUUCCCAUAUCCCCUUCUCGACUUUUCACCAGCUAUUUCACUGGAAAGAAACUUGAGAACGUCAUCCACACUAAGGGAUUCAUGGAGGCUGAUGGUUUAAUGUGCUAUCUCCUUCAGAUGACAUGGUUAUUUUAAAAGGCGUUUCCUAGAAGUAUGUCUUUAUCCAAAGUAAUGAAAUCCAUGUGGUGAAAUUUU